rnacentral:rRNA from 1 species
GGUAGGGGAGCGUUCUGUAAGCCUGUGAAGGUGGCCUGUGAGGGUUGCUGGAGGUAUCAGAAGUGCGAAUGCUGACAUAAGUAACGAUAAAGCGGGUGAAAAGCCCGCUCGCCGGAAGACCAAGGGUUCCUGUCCAACGUUAAUCGGGGCAGGGUGAGUCGACCCCUAAGGCGAGGCCGAAAGGCGUAGUCGAUGGGAAACGGGUUAAUAUUCCCGUACUUGGUGUUACUGCGAAGGGGGGACGGAGAAGGCUAUGUUGGCCGGGCGACGGUUGUCCCGGUUUAAGCGUGUAGGUGUGUGUUCCAGGUAAAUCCGGUU